rnacentral:rRNA from 1 species
UACGUAGGGGGCGAGCGUUGUCCGGAGUUACUGGGCGUAAAGCGCUUGUAGGCGGUCCACCAAGUUUGGGGUGACAGUUGCCGACUUAAUCGGCAAAGUGCCUCAAAGACUGGCGGACUUGAGGGCCACAGAGGGACAUGGAACUCCAGGUGUAGUGGUGAAAUGCGUAGAUAUCUGGAGGAACACCGGUGGCGAAGGCGGCAUCCUGGACCGGCACUGACGCUGAGGAGCGAAAGCCAGGGGAGCAAACGGG